rnacentral:rRNA from 1 species
AUUGAACGCUGGCGGCAUGCUUUACACAUGCAAGUCGAACGGCAGCGCGGGCUUCGGCCUGGCGGCGAGUGGCGAACGGGUGAGUAAUGCAUCGGAACGUGCCCAGUAGUGGGGGAUAGCCCAGCGAAAGCCGGAUUAAUACCGCAUACGACCUGAGGGUGAAAGCGGGGGACCGAAAGGCCUCGCGCUAUUGGAGCGGCCGAUGUCGGAUUAGCUAGUUGGUGGGGUAAAGGCUUACCAAGGCGACGAUCCGUAGCUGGUCUGAGAGGACGACCAGCCACACUGGGACUGAGACACGGCCCAGACUCCUACGGGAGGCAGCAGUGGGGAAUUUUGGACAAUGGGGGCAACCCUGAUCCAGCCAUGCCGCGUGCGGGAAGAGGGCCUUCGGGUUGUAAACCGCUUUUGUUCGGGAAGAAAUCCUCUGGGCUAAUACCCCGGGGGGAUGACGGUACCGGAAGAAUAAGCACCGGCUAACUACGUG